GACGAACGCUGGCGGCGUGCUUAACACAUGCGAGUCGAACGAAGAGCGACGGAAGCUUGCUUCUGUCACACUUAGUGGCGAACGGGUGAGUAACGCGUAAUCAACCUGCCCUUCAGGGGGGGACAACAGAUGGAAACGACAGCUCAUACCGCAUACGAUCUAAUCACGGCAUCGAGGAUGGAUGAACGGUGGCCUCUACAUGUAAGCUAUCACUGAAGGAGGGGAGUGCGUCAGAUUAGCUAGUAGGAGGGGUAACGGCCCAGCAAGGCGAGGAUCAGUAGCCGGUCUGAGAGGAUGAGCGGCCACAUUGGGACUGAGACACGGCCCAGACUCCUACGGGAGGCAGCCGUGGGGAAUCUUCCGCAAUGGACGAAAGUCUGACGGAGCAACGCCGCGUGAGUGAUGACGGCCUUCGGGUUGUAAAGCUCUGUUAUUCGGGACGAAAGGCCUUCUUGCGAAUAGUGAGAAGGAUUGACGGUACCGGAAUAGAAAGCCACGGCUAACUACGUG
rnacentral:rRNA from 1 species